rnacentral:rRNA from 1 species
UGGGGAAUAUUGCACAAUGGGCGCAAGCCUGAUGCAGCAACGCCGCGUGAACGGUGAAGGUCUUCGGAUCGUAAAGUUCUGUUGCAGGGGAAGAUAAUGACGGUACCCUGUGAGGAAGCCCCGGCUAACUACGUGCCAGCAGCCGCGGUAAUACGUAGGGGGCUAGCGUUAUCCGGAUUUACUGGGCGUAAAGGGUGCGUAGGUGGUCCUUCAAGUCGGUGGUUAAAGGCUACGGCUCAACCGUAGUAAGCCGCCGAAACUGGAGGACUUGAGUGCAGGAGAGGAAAGUGGAAUUCCCAGUGUAGCGGUGAAAUGCGUAGAUAUUGGGAGGAACACCAGUAGCGAAGGCGGCUUUCUGGACUGCAACUGACACUGAGGCACGAAAGCGUGGGUAGCAAACAGG